AAGGGAGUUUUGUCUGAAUUAGGACUGGUGAGUGCCAGAGGAUUUCUCUCUGCUCCAGAUCAAGAAUGUUUUGUCCGCCUGUUGAAAUUGCUCACUGUUGGCAGCCUGAUGUACAUUUUACAUUCUUCCAAACCACAAAUCCAGAUCAGGGAAGGGCUGAAGGGGUACGAAGUCCAGGAGAACAUUGCCAACAAGACAGGGAAAUUUUAAGCACACCAGCUGGAUUGGAGCCAACUAAUAACGAACUUCAGUGGAAGGGGUCUGAAAGCUUCCCAGUGAUCACAGGAACAGGCAGAGCAGCAGUUGAUCUGAUGAGGUGA
rnacentral:lncRNA from 1 species